rnacentral:lncRNA from 1 species
GAAAGUGAUGAGAAGUUUUGUCGCCCCAGUCUUACCCGCAUCAAAAAAAUUUGAUGCUUGGUGGUGAUUGACUCUCUUUCUGAUUCCUCUUCUCUUCCGAGUUUUUUUCUUCAAAAUUUCUGGUAUUUAUGCAAAACUGCAAGGAUGUAAAGGAGAGAGAUAUGAUGAUGAAUAUCCCAUUGUUCCAUUACCGAAUUCAACUUUGAUGACAAAUCAACCAAAUUACAUGCACUACCAUCUGAUCUCUC